rnacentral:lncRNA from 1 species
AAACAAUGUAAUUACAAUUUUGUAGAACACAAAAACCAUGUGAAAAUACACAAACAAGCAUUACAUUGAGUAUAUUUAAAAGUACAGGGUGUCGAAAUAAACUUUAUUAAUACUGUCACGUACCGAAGAUGCAUCUAAUGAUUCUAAAAUUUCCUCACUAGUUUCGGGUUUAGUUUGGGUUUCUUGAUCUCGAUUACUGAUUAUUAAUACAAAAUCAUUUGUUGAGAAAACAACGCGUAUUUUUACCGGAUUUUGAACUCUGGCGACGUCUUCUCGUUGACCACAAUCGCCGCCUCUCUGCUUCUCGGUUACAGUUGUCUGAUUCUUUUCAAUUAGAUUAACUUCUGCUACUAAUAUUAAAUCGCUUGCGAACUGAAUCAACUUUCUAUAAUAAGUCUAAUAAAUUACUAUUCUUGUCGACACAAUUACGGCACACAUUGUUAGACAAACAACUGUCCAGAUUCAAUAAGUUUUUACAUGCACUCGUUUUUGUUGAUACAUUGAACAGCUUUCGGCGCUUACUUGGGUCAGUUAUUUCGUCAGUUAUUUCGUUUCCACACUCGGUGCAAACUGUUUCAUUCGAGGACAAAGAAAUAUCAAUUCUUGAGAAUGUUUUUGUGUUUUUGUAGACCAAUUGUCGGCGCGGUGAAGUAAUUGUAUGAAAUGUACACACCCAUUUUAUGUCAAAAUUAUU